CGGGAAAAACAAAGUUUACGAGGAAUAGGCUCGAUUGUUAAAAAUUUUGUACCGAGUUUUAACAAGCCGGCUUGAGAAUUGGGAUAGGUCGAAGACUCGUUCACACUAUCCGAAGGCCUAAAUUGGUAAAAUGGCUUGUGUGUUUUGAAUGUGGCAUGUAUGGCAACAUACUCACUUUGUGUAAAUGAUCUUAUGAUAUGGCUAUGGUUUGGAAAGAAAAGGGUUUGUAAAUGAUUAGCCAUUGGAAUGGCCAAUCUAAGUCAUAUUUGAUGUUAUGUAUGUUUAAAAUGCUAUUUAGUCCAUGAAAAUCCUUAGUAAAGUGAAAUCUGCCAUAAAACAGAAUCUGACAGCAGCAGUGAUGUAAAUUUGAAAAAUCACUAAAAAUGGUAGAAAUGGAAUUAAA